GCCAGGACCGGCUCUCGGCUCUUGGUAGUUUAUUUUCUGGUGCAAAUGGCUCUUUGAAUAUUUUAGAACGUAAAAACACACAAAGGAAUAUGUUUUGGACUUUGGUGGUAAAUUUGGUUUUGCUUAGCAAGCUGACAUUUUGUGAGGCAUGUCUCUUAAGAGUCCACAGAAGAGACACAGCCAUUCAGCCAUGAAGUGAAGUGGCAAUUUCCAGGUGUCAUUCAAAGAUGAACUCGACCUAAGAGAUUUUGACUGAUUGGUAUCAAAUUUGAUCCAUUAAAAAAAAA